rnacentral:rRNA from 1 species
CAGGGGAUGGACACAACGAGAGGGAGAGGGAGGGAGAGGGGGAGAGAGAGAGAGAACGCGCGAACGAACGAAGGGAAGAGGCACACUCGCUCCGGUGGUCGCCUCCUCCCGACACGACUUCUUCCGACGCGGUCGCUCUCGAACCACUGACCCCUGCGUCCUCAAAGUAUGUAAGGUGUUUUGGUGACUUUAUGACCUUCUGAGCGUUAGACUUCUCUAAUGUAAGGCGCUUUGUCGCGACCCCAGUUGCGAUCAUCUAGUAGUUUUACCACUGACUUGUAGUCAGACCUAUAGACCUAAUUACAUUAUAUCCAUAUAAUCUAUUAUGCUUUAGCCUUCAGGUGAGAUGACGGCGUCAUAGUCGUCCUCUGUGACCUUACCGACUUCAGUUGAACAACGUACCACUUAGACUGUGUAGUCGAUGGCCAAAUGACGGUCACAGUAAGAACAGUACGUCAGGAUCUAGAUACCAAGGUUAUAGUCAAGGCAGUAGUAGACCGGAACUUCGAUAGGACUGUGGAUUAGGUUACAUGUCACUACAAGUCAACUUUCUUCACUUGAUGUUACGAUGUCGUUACCUGCUUUCGUGGCUCAAGGAAGUCGACUAAGAAUCACCGUUACUACUUCCGAUGUUAUGAUGUUCGCUUGACGUUCAAACCCUACAAGACCUAAAGAUGAAGAGUCUUUCAAAAAGACUACAUGUUAAACUAUCGUAUUACCCAAAAUGUUCACUGCAGUCAUGAAGGAGAGUACUAAUAUACUACUUAUAACAACUGAACCAUCUCGCCGGACACCGUGAGGACAGAGAGUUACUCUGUCUCCUUGGUUUAUUACGUUGGUUAUUCCGAGGUCAGCUAGUGUCAUGUUACCUGGGACUACUGUGUAGGAACAUGGAAGUUUACUUUGGUGGUCUAAGUCUUUGGCUUUCAUGAAGACGGAGAGUCCUACACUAUCCUUAACUCAUACCACUACUUUUCGAAGUAAGAUCUCCAGACGGACUAAAUUACCUACAACUGAGUAGGUUAGCAGACGCUUUUAGUGGUCACUCUUGUUUCGUACAGUGAGAACACGAACUAAACCUACUCUGAGAACAGGUAAGUUGUAACCUAGUGACACUAUAUAGACUAAAGUCGUAAGUUCAAAAGAAGUUAUACUUUCUGGUAUGUCAGGUACACUCUGUUUCCGGGGUGGACUUCUACAAGGAACUCUUCGCUUAUAUAGCACUCAGUACAUAUAAGAGACUACCGUCGAUAUGUUUUCUGGACUGUUAAGACCCUCAGGUGAACCGUUUUCAACGAUAUUAACUGUUAUGCGGUGUCCAAAAGGUCAACGUUCAGCUAUUACCAUAGGGCUAUUUUUCGACCAAACUACUGGGGCGCCUGGUCCUUGACCAACUCAAUGAGGGCAAGGAGCUCUGGGAACAACUACGUCUCCUGCAUUCCGGUGAUUAGAGUUUCUGAAAAGUACCGUGUCAGGUCGUCCUAAUCUGAAUUCUACGUAGUAAUAGUACGUGACUCGGACUCGGACGGUGACACAGUCGCUUGAGGUAGAACCCUUUAAUCCAUAUCCUAGUCGUAAGUGGUAAAUACAAUACAACCGACAAUGUCUAUCGUUCGUAUUUGACGUACAGCGGUACCGAACAUAUGCAUCAUAACGAGCCCAAAAGACACACCGUCCAGACACAUGUAUUUAAUAUCAUAACUUAUUUCACUAGACUUAGGUCAAAAACGAGUUUCCCUGGAGAGUUCGUCGUGUCUC